AGAGUUUGAUCCUGGCUCAGGACGAACGCUGGCGGCGUGCUUAACACAUGCAAGUCGAACGAUGAUGCCCAGCUUGCUGGGUGGAUUAGUGGCGAACGGGUGAGUAACACGUGAGUAACCUGCCCCUGACUCUGGGAUAAGCGUUGGAAACGACGUCUAAUACUGGAUAUGAUCACUGGCCGCAUGGUCUGGUGGUGGAAAGAUUUUUUGGUUGGGGAUGGACUCGCGGCCUAUCAGCUUGUUGGUGAGGUAAUGGCUCACCAAGGCGACGACGGGUAGCCGGCCUGAGUGGGUGACCGGCCACACUGGGACUGAGACACGGCUCAGACUCCUACGGGAGGCAGCAGUGGGGAAUAUUGCACAAUGGGCGAAAGCCUGAUGCAGCAACGCCGCGUGAGGGAUGACGGCCUUCGGGUUGUAAACCUCUUUUAGUAGGGAAGAAGCGAAAGUGACGGUACCUGCAGAAAAAGCACCGGCUAACUACGUGCCAGCAGCCGCGGUAAUACGUAGGGUGCAAGCGUUGUCCGGAAUUAUUGGGCGUAAAGAGCUCGUAGGCGGUUUGUCGCGUCUGCUGUGAAAUCCCGAGGCUCAACCUCGGGCUUGCAGUGGGUACGGGCAGACUAGAGUGCGGUAGGGGAGAUUGGAAUUCCUGGUGUAGCGGUGGAAUGCGCAGAUAUCAGGAGGAACACCGAUGGCGAAGGCAGAUCUCUGGGCCGUAACUGACGCUGAGGAGCGAAAGCAUGGGGAGCGAACAGGAUUAGAUACCCUGGUAGUCCAUGCCGUAAACGUUGGGCGCUAGAUGUAGGGACCUUUCCACGGUUUCUGUGUCGUAGCUAACGCAUUAAGCGCCCCGCCUGGGGAGUACGGCCGCAAGGCUAAAACUCAAAGGAAUUGACGGGGGCCCGCACAAGCGGCGGAGCAUGCGGAUUAAUUCGAUGCAACGCGAAGAACCUUACCAAGGCUUGACAUACACCGGAAACGGCCAGAGAUGGUCGCCCCCUUGUGGUCGGUGUACAGGUGGUGCAUGGUUGUCGUCAGCUCGUGUCGUGAGAUGUUGGGUUAAGUCCCGCAACGAGCGCAACCCUCGUUCUAUGUUGCCAGCGGGUUAUGCCGGGGACUCAUAGGAGACUGCCGGGGUCAACUCGGAGGAAGGUGGGGAUGACGUCAAAUCAUCAUGCCCCUUAUGUCUUGGGCUUCACGCAUGCUACAAUGGCCGGUACAAAGGGCUGCGAUACCGUAAGGUGGAGCGAAUCCCAAAAAGCCGGUCUCAGUUCGGAUUGAGGUCUGCAACUCGACCUCAUGAAGUCGGAGUCGCUAGUAAUCGCAGAUCAGCAACGCUGCGGUGAAUACGUUCCCGGGCCUUGUACACACCGCCCGUCAAGCCAUGAAAGUCGGUAACACCCGAAGCCGGUGGCCUAACCCUUGUGGAAGGAGCCGUCGAAGGUGGGAUCGGUGAUUAGGACUAAGUCGUAACAAGGUAACC
rnacentral:rRNA from 1 species